AUGAUUCCCCUGUGGAUCCUGGCGCUGGUCGCGGCCGUGUGCGCCUUCUUCUGCGGGCCGGUGGUGAUGAUGCAUGGGCCGGGAGCCGCCGGGCUGCUCACUAGCCGGGCGGCGUUCGAAGCCUUCCCCAAGCUUUACUACUACCUGCUCCGCACGUACGGACCCGCCGCGGCCGUGUUCGUGUUCCGUCACCUCCCCCAGUGCCUGAUCUCGAUCUUGGCUUUUAUUUUCGGUAUGUGA
rnacentral:rRNA from 1 species